GUGAAGAACGUAGCGAAAUGCGAUACUUGGUGUGAAUUGCAGAAUCCCGUGAACCAUCGAGUCUUUGAACGCAAGUUGCGCCCGAAGCCACUAGGCCGAGGGCACGCCUGCCUGGGCGUCACACGUCGUUGCCCCCCCAUCUACUCCUUCGGGAUUGCGGGGGGGCGGAUGAUGGCCUCCCGUGCGCCUAGCCGCGCGGUUGGCAUAAAUACCAAGUCCUCGGCGACGCACGCCACGACAAUCGGUGGUUGCGAAACCUCGGUUGCCCGUCGUGUGCGUUCGUCGCGCAUCGAGGGCUCGAAAAAAUGCUCGGCUCCGGCUGGGCUUUCAACGCGACCCCAGGUCAGGCGGGGUUACCCGCUGAAUUUAAGCAUAUCAAUAAGCGGAGGA
rnacentral:misc_RNA from 1 species